rnacentral:lncRNA from 1 species
UCGUAAUCACCAAACGCGUUACAUAUUCUAUCCCGACAUCUAUCCGUAUUACCAUAUAUUAUUCGCGAGGACUAGAAUCUAAAGAAACCCCAUUUUAUCAAAUCCUCUAUCAUCAGAGUCCUUCAAAUAAUGUGCCUAAACUCCAAAUAGAUGAAGUUCCCUUAGAAAGUCCCAAAAUCACAAGCAUGAUUCAAAUAAAACAGUGACAUCAACAGUCUAUAAUAAUGUGCAUUGCACGAGUCAUGGCAUGUGUAAAAAUGAAGGCAGCAAAGCAUAAUUCAUAAUAAAGUAAGUUGGCAAACAAGGAUAAUAUAGACCCCAUAAAAAAGCAUAAGAUGAAUCAUACAUAUGUUUUCCCUCCACAAAUAAGGCCGACCCUCACUCACUUUUGGUGCAAGGCCCACGUGCCCGGCACGUGAAACUCAUCAUAGAAAAAGAUGAAAUUAUUGAAAGAGAAGAUAACAAAGGGCAACUACAAUUGACAGGAAGACAAAGCUGAGUUCAUUAAGAAAAUCUUACAAUAGCAAUGUAUUUAUGAGUACUAUUUUCUAGUUGUCCACAUUAAGGAAGCACAUACUAUGCACACAAAUCCGAUGUUCAUUUGCUACUCUUAGUUAGGCUAAGUCUUUUUUUAUCUUUAUUAGUUUCGACAAUCUCGUUUUCAGCAGUGGUACUUGAUGGCAAAGAAGAAGACCUGGUUCAGUCUAAUAAAGAGGUUCUUCAUUUCAGACCCACAAUCAAGAAGAGAAAAGGUACACAAACUGAAAAUUUUCAAUUCAUAAUUUUUAUUGUGUAGAAGAUUUACCUGAAGUGAUUUAAAUCUCUCGUACGCUGCAAGAAGGAUAAGCGAAGGAGAUGGGUAUGCCGAUUGCUUAAGGUGAAAGAGCUCGUGCCAUCCUCUCCGAGAGAAAGGCUGCCAUGGCAACUCACAGAACAUAAUAAUACUACUUCUCUUCCAGUAACCGUUACAACAGACACUCCUGAGCUU